CAGAAUAGAUGCAGCAGCAAGCAGGAUGAAUGAACUUGAAAACAAAUCAAUAGAAAACAGCACACUGGGCAGGGUGCAGUGGUUCAUGCCUGUAAUCCCAGCACUUUGGGAGACCAAGGCAGACAGAUCACAAGGAUUGGGCAAGUCUUAAUGAGUAUGAACCAACGAAAUUGAGGAGAGAUUUGCUUAGAGCUUCUGGGAAACAGAAGUCAAUGUCUGUGUUUCUCCCUCCUUCUCCUGCUACCCCUAUCACUUGGGGAAGAGUGAAGCAUGUUGCUCUGUUACAACUGGCAGCUGUCUUAGAACCAUGAAGGGAAACAGCCUUGCAAGGAAGUUCUCGGCCAAACAGUGAGAUCUCAGCAGAGGAGUGAGAUAGAAAGAAUCCUGAGUGCCUGAAGAUGGGCUCGCACUGAUUCAUCAAUCUUGAAGCUCACAUCAUUGUCUCUGAAUGACUACUUAAAAUGUGAAAUAAUACAUUUCCUUGAUAUUUAAGCAAAUUUUACUGUCUUCUGUUUCUUGAAGCCCAAAGCAUUCUGAUACCAAGAGUCACACCCUCAUGAUGUUUAGUGUGAUUGUUCAUUCACUUAUUGAGCACUCGUAUUCCAGACAUUGGGUUAGACACGG
rnacentral:lncRNA from 1 species